CGGGACACGUGGUAUCCUGUCUGAAUAUGGGGGGACCAUCCUCCAAGGCUAAAUACUCCUGACUGACCGAUAGUGAACCAGUACCGUGAGGGAAAGGCGAAAAGAACCCCGGCGAGGGGAGUGAAAAAGAACCUGAAACCGUGUACGUACAAGCAGUGGGAGCCUCUUAAUGGGGUGACUGCGUACCUUUUGUAUAAUGGGUCAGCGACUUAUAUUCUGUAGCAAGGUUAACCGAAUAGGGGAGCCGAAGGGAAACCGAGUCUUAACUGGGCGUUAAGUUGCAGGGUAUAGACCCGAAACCCGGUGAUCUAGCCAUGGGCAGGUUGAAGGUUGGGUAACACUAACUGGAGGACCGAACCGACUAAUGUUGAAAAAUUAGCGGAUGACUUGUGGCUGGGGGUGAAAGGCCAAUCAAACCGGGAGAUAGCUGGUUCUCCCCGAAAGCUAUUUAGGUAGCGCCUCGUGAAUUCAUCUCCGGGGGUAGAGCACUGUUUCGGCAAGGGGGUCAUCCCGACUUACCAACCCGAUGCAAACUGCGAAUACCGGAGAAUGUUAUCACGGGAGACACACGGCGGGUGCUAACGUCCGUCGUGAAGAGGGAAACAACCCAGACCGCCAGCUAAGGUCCCAAA
rnacentral:rRNA from 1 species